rnacentral:rRNA from 1 species
GACGAACGCUGGCGGCGUGCUUAACACAUGCAAGUCGAACGGAAAGGCCCUGCUUGCCGGGUACUCGAGUGGCGAACGGGUGAGUAACACGUGGGUGAUCUGCCCUGCACUUCGGGAUAAGCCUGGGAAACUGGGUCUAAUACCGGAUAGGAGCCAUUUUUAGUGUGAUGGUUGGAAAGUUUUUUCGGUGUAGGAUGAGCUCGCGGCCUAUCAGCUUGUUGGUGGGGUAAUGGCCUACCAAGGCGGCGACGGGUAGCCGGCCUGAGAGGGUGGACGGCCACAUUGGGACUGAGAUACGGCCCAGACUCCUACGGGAGGCAGCAGUGGGGAAUAUUGCACAAUGGGCGCAAGCCUGAUGCAGCGACGCCGCGUGGGGGAUGACGGCCUUCGGGUGGUAAACUCCUUUCGCUAGGGACGAAGCUUUUUGUGACGGUACCUAGAUAAGAAGCACCGGCUAACUACG